rnacentral:rRNA from 1 species
AGGAACUGUCGGAGGAGGCCGCUUCUUCCAUCUUCCACUAGCUCUCGCUCGAGGCGAUCGAAGGGGGCUCAUGUUUUUGAAUGGACUGCUGUUGCUCAAACAUCAAUAGGAAUUGAGGGGACAGGAGGCAAGCCACGGCUAUCUACGUACGCCAGCAGCCGCGGUAAUACGUAGGUGGCGAGCGCCGUCCGGAAUUAUUGGACGUAAAGGAGUGCAGUAGGUGGCUUUUUAAGGUGGGGCGUGAAAUCCCCGGGUCUUAACCCGGGAGCUGCGCUCCAAACUCGGAAAGCUAGAGUGCUGGAGAGGAAAGUGGAAUUCCAAGUGUAACCGGUGAAAUGCGUACAGAUUUGGAGGAACACCAUGUGGCCGAAGGCGACUUUCUGGACUGUAACUGACACUGAGGCAUCCGAAAGUAGUGGGGAGUUAUAUACUAGGUUCUAGAUACCCUGGGAUAGUCCACGCCCGCUAAUAACCGAUGGCGAUACUAGGUGCAGGGGGCUGAUAGACAUCUCCUGUCGCCCUCCCAGCUCAACCACAUAAUUAUAAAAUAU